GACGAACGCUGGCGGCGUGCUUAACACAUGCAAGUCGAACGGAAAGGCCCCCAUCUUGGUGGGGGUGCUCGAGUGGCGAACGGGUGAGUAACACGUGGGUGAUCUGCCCUGUACUUCGGGAUAAGCUUGGGAAACUGGGUCUAAUACCGGAUAGGACCAUGGUUUAGUGUCUCAUGGUGGAAAGAUUAUUGUUUUGGUGCAGGAUGAGCUCGCGGCCUAUCAGCUUGUUGGUGGGGUAAUGGCCUACCAAGGCGUCGACGGGUAGCCGGCCUGAGAGGGUGGACGGCCACAUUGGGACUGAGAUACGGCCCAGACUCCUACGGGAGGCAGCAGUGGGGAAUAUUGCACAAUGGGCGCAAGCCUGAUGCAGCGACGCCGCGUGGGGGAUGACGGCCUUCGGGUUGUAAACUCCUUUCGUGAGGGACGAAGCCGCACUUUUUUUGGGUGUGGUGACGGUACCUUUGUUAAGAAGCACCGGCUAACUACGU
rnacentral:rRNA from 1 species